rnacentral:rRNA from 1 species
CAGUAGCCGCGGUAAUACAGAGGAUGCAAGCGUUAUCCGGAAUGAUUGGGCGUAAAGCGUGCGUAGGCGGUUCGUUAAGUCUGUUGUGAAAGCCCCGGGCUCAACCUGGGAAUGGCAAUGGAUACUGGCGAGCUAGAGUGUGUCAGAGGAUGGUGGAAUUCCCGGUGUAGCGGUGAAAUGCGUAGAGAUCGGGAGGAACAUCAGUGGCGAAGGCGGCCAUCUGGGACAACACUGACGCUGAGGCACGAAAGCGUGGGGAGCAAACAGGAUUAGAGACCCCGGUAGUCCUGUCUCUUAUACA